GGGACUUUGCUGAGAGAAUGCGGCGCCGGGUGUCUGGGGUCCUGGGUUUGAGUCCCAUCCUCACAUGUGACUCCCGACUUCUCCGAGUCUCCCUUUGGGCAUCUGUAAAAUGCAACUUUGAUCUUCACAUUUCCUUCCAGCUAAAAUAUGUUAAGUGCUCAAACUUUGAGACAGAAAGGAUGAAGAGGUGACCAGAGGCACCAAACGCCAGUUCUUUGCAGGUUUUCCGAGGGAGAACACUGUACCCCGUAAUGCCUGGCCUACCUGAGGCCGGGCAAGUGACUUUUUGAUAAGGGACCAGCGACAGUGUGGGAACUGAAGAAGAUGCUCCCCGGAGCUGAGAGUCUGCUGUGGCAUCUGCAACAAGGAGGGCAGUUCCUGACCUAUUUCCUGCUCUGGCUCUCCUCUGAUGAGAAUGCCUGAGCCCAGGGCAGCGCCUGUGAGAAGGAGCCCCGUGGGACUCACCUGCCCAGCACAACCGGCCCUUUUCUCUCCAAGAGCCCGAGGCCUGAGCUCGGGAGGAGAAACGCCCUGGCUGGUGGCUGGCUGCUGGACCGCGACCACUCCCCAAGCCGCAGCAAACCCGGCAAACCCUUCCUCCAAUUCCAUCGACUCCCAAACAGGCCCCCGAAAACAAUAGCGAAGACUCCACUUUGCGACACGUUAAGUGGUUCAGAGUGGAUGAAGCCACAGCUGAAACCAGCCUCGGGACAUGGCCCCAGACGUUUCCAAAGUCACUUCCAAAUACUACAAUGAAAACAGCUUUUGAAAUGUGGCUUCACAGCGAAUCCCAGAGAAAUAAGAACAGAGAGUUCUCGCUGCCUUCUAACAACGCCCCGCCCUCUCCUGGCAUAAAACAGACAGAAACCAGCACCAGGCCCUCGGGGGCGGCACAUGCACCCCUGCGCACGCUGCGCACUGGCCAGGCCCGGGCCGCCCUUCCGCAAGCAGCUUCCGUUCCCACCUGCGCAGCCCACCCACACCUGGAGACACAGCUCGCGGCUCUCUCGGUUGUAUUUAAGCUCCCCCCCCCCCCCAACACACACCCGCCACAAGGUCCUGUCCCUGUUUGCGCCAGAGCCAGAGACGACAACUAGGAUAACAUGAUGAUGAUGAUGAUGAUGAUGAUGAUGACGACGACGAUGAUGAUGCCCUUUUAAGAAAAGGCAAGUCCUGAGGCGGGCAAGUCGGCGCCCUCCGCCUGCGCAGGCCGGCAGGGCUGUUGGAGCCACUUUUCCAGGCCGUGCAGAGGUCCGGGGGCCGAGGCAGAGUCACGCCGCGGCCAGGAGUCGGGGACGCCCAGGGCAAGCUCGCGGGUCACGUGCUCCCCGGAGCCCUCAAGUGCGCUCGGCCCCGGGUCCCACAUCAACUCCUCUGCAAACAUCGACCUCAGACCCAGAAGCGGCGCUUACCUGUGGGCCCCACUGCAAGGGACCAAAGGGCAAGAGACUCACAAAUGACUCAACGCUUCCUUUCUUCCUCUUAAAGAAACAGAUGCCCAAGGCUGGAUGGCCCUAAGUGAGGAUUCCGUGUAAAGAAAUGGACUUUUAUUGCCUUCCACUAAAAAAAAAAAACAAAAAAACAAAAACUGUA